AUGCCUUUUCAUUCGCAUCUCAUGUCAGUAUGCAGCCGGGUGAAGCUGUCGAUUUGGAACCACUCUGGUAGAGAGAAGAGCGAGGACAAGCAUGGGAGCGGCGAUCUUGACGGUCAAUGCCUUCUCGAGGAACUUCCACAUGAUAGGCACGCUAUUCUCGAAGCAGAUGUAGGAGACCAACAGAUGGGCCAACUCGGUAGACGGUAAAACGACCCCGGCAGAGUUGAGGCUGGAACUGAGCUGAAUCGC
rnacentral:misc_RNA from 1 species